CGGGUUGAUGAGACUAAGGCGAAUGCGACUUGGCUGCUGACUCUUUGUUUGGGAGAUGGGAGGGAAAAGAUAGCGGGUGAGAUCUGAAAUCUUGGUGGGGGUGCCUAAGGCCUCACUCCCUGCUGUAAGGCCAGAUCGAGAGCACUUCUGGCCUUGCCUUCGUGUCAGCUGCCACCACAGUACUGGCAGCAUCCUGUAGGGAGGCCCACAGUGGGUAGCAAAGUGUGAGUAGCCACGUGAGCGCAACCUUGAAUCUGACA